rnacentral:rRNA from 1 species
CCAGACUCCUACGGGAGGCAGCAGUGGGGAAUAUUGGACAAUGGACCAAGAGUCUGAUCCAGCAAUUCUGUGUGCACGAUGAAGUUUUUCGGAAUGUAAAGUGCUUUCAGUUGGGAAGAAAAAAAUGACGGUACCAACAGAAGAAGUGACGGCUAAAUACGUGCCAGCAGCCGCGGUAAUACGUAUGUCACAAGCGUUAUCCGGAUUUAUUGGGCGUAAAGCGCGUCUAGGUGGUUAUGUAAGUCUGAUGUGAAAAUGCAGGGCUCAACUCUGUAUUGCGUUGGAAACUGUGUAACUAGAGUACUGGAGAGGUAAGCGGAACUACAAGUGUAGAGGUGAAAUUCGUAGAUAUUUGUAGGAAUGCCGAUGGGGAAGCCAGCUUACUGGAUAGAUACUGACGCUGAAGCGCGAAAGCGUGGGUAGCAAACAGGAUUAGAUACCCUGGUAGUCCACGCCGUAAACGAUGAUUACUAGGUGUUGGGGGUCGAACCUCAGCGCCCAAGCAAACGCGAUAAGUAAUCCGCCUGGGGAGUACGUACGCAAGUAUGAAACUCAAAGGAAUUGACGGGGGCCCGCACAAG